rnacentral:lncRNA from 1 species
AGGGCUCAGAUUCGCCUUUUCUCAGACAGAAGAGAGAAGAGGUUUCCAUAGGCUGCGUUGGGCAUCUGUGCAAAGCGCCACAAGUGUAACUUCACACAGACACAGAACCACCUCGCCAUGAAACAACUCUUCACCCAAUGCUUGAUUCAAUUGCUGAAAACAUCAUCACUGCCUUGUUACCAAAGAAGAAGAAGAAGAAGAAUGAAGGGGUUAACAUUGCUUUGUUAUCUAAAAAGAAGAAGAAAAAGAAAAGGUUAAUAUACGCGUUGUUAAAUAGCAGCUAUAGUGGCGCUAUAACGUAGAGGAAUUUGAACAAACCGCUAUUAUUCUGAGAUACGCUAUCCAGUACAAAAUAUUGUCAAAUAGCGGCUAUAGUGGCACUAUAGCACUAUUGCACAGCGGAAGUAAUAGAAGGUAUGUGUGGAGAGUUGUUUGUAAAUUUCACUGAGACGGAUCAUCG